GGCUUAUUAGCUUAGUUGGUUAGAGCAUCAUGCUAAUAACGUGAAGGUCAUAGGUUUGAGACCUACAUGGGCCA
rfam:Musa acuminata subsp. malaccensis Doubled-haploid Pahang (DH-Pahang) genomic chromosome, chr11